rnacentral:rRNA from 1 species
GGGGCAUCGGGGAGCGAAGCUUGCUUUGCUCCGCCGGCGACCGGCGCACGGGUGAGUAACGCGUAUGCAACCUGCCCGUUUCAGCGGGAUAACCCGGAGAAAUCCGGCCUAAUACCGCAUGUGGCCGAGGGAAGGCAUCUUCUUUCGGCCAAAGGAGGCGACUCCGGAGACGGAUGGGCAUGCGUGACAUUAGCUUGUUGGCGGGGUAACGGCCCACCAAGGCGACGAUGUCUAGGGGUUCUGAGAGGAAGGUCCCCCACACUGGUACUGAGACACGGACCAGACUCCUACGGGAGGCAGCAGUGAGGAAUAUUGGUCAAUGGGCGAGAGCCUGAACCAGCCAAGUCGCGUGAAGGAUGACGGCCCUACGGGUUGUAAACUUCUUUUGUCAGGGAGCAAUUGGGUCCACGCGUGGGCUUAGCGAGAGUACCUGGAGAAAAAGCAUCGGCUAACUCCGUGCCAGCAGCCGCGGUAAUACGGAGGAUGCGAGCGUUAUCCGGAUUUAUUGGGUUUAAAGGGUGCGUAGGCGGAAUAUCAAGUCAGCGGUAAAAAUUCGGGGCUCAACCCCGUCGUGCCGUUGAAACUGAUGUUCUUGAGUGGGCGAGAAGUAUGCGGAAUGCGUGGUGUAGUGGUGAAAUGCAUAGAUAUCACGCAGAACUCCGAUUGCGAAGGCAGCAUACCGGCGCCCAACUGACGCUGAAGCACGAAAGCGUGGGUAUCGAACAGGAUUAGAUACCCUGGUAGUCCACGCAGUAAACGAUGAAUGCUAAUUGUCCGGAGGGAUUGACCUCUGGGUGAUACAGCGAAAGCGUUAAGCA